AUACGUAGGUGCCAAGCGUUAUCCGGAUUUACUGGGCGUAAAGGGCGUGUAGGCGGUCUUGUAAGUCAGAAGUGAAAUUCCUGAGCUCAACUCGGGCGCUGCUUCUGAAACUGCAGGACUUGAGUGCUGGAGGGGAUAGCGGAAUUCCUAGUGGAGCGGUGAAAUGCGCAGAUAUUAGGAAGAACACCGGUGGCGAAGGCGGCUUGCUGGGCAGUAACUGGCGCUGUGGCGCGAAGUCGUGGGGAGAAAAAAGAGUUUGAUACCCUUUUAGACCACGCCGUAAACGAUGAGUCCUAGGUGUAGGGGGUAUCGACUCCCUCUGUGCCGCAGUUAACACAAUAAGUAUUCCGCCUGGGGAGUACGGCCGCAAGGUUGAAACUCAAAGGAAUUGACGGGG
rnacentral:rRNA from 1 species